UAAGCGGAGGAAAAGAAACUAACAAGGAUUUCCUUAGUAACGGCGAGCGAACUGGAAAAAGCCCAGCUUGAAAAUCGAGGCACCUUGUGCCUUGAAUUGUAGUCUGUAGAAGCAUCCUCUGCAGCGGACCGGGCCUAAGUUCUUUGGAAAGAGACGCUGGAGAGGGUGAGAGCCCCGUCCGGCUCGGACCCUGCUGCUUCACGAGGUGCUGUCAUAGAGUCGGGUUGUUUGGGAAUGCAGCCUCAAUCGGGUGGUAAAUCUCAUCUAAGGCUAAAUACUGGCAAGAGACCGAUAGCGAACAAGUACCGCGAGGGAAAGAUGAAAAGGACUUUGAAAAGAGAGUUAAAAGUGCUUGAAAUUGCUGGGAGGGAAGCGAAUGGAUGCCUUGUGUGCGUCCCGGUUGUGGUGGGACGGCUUGCUGGCCUGCCGGAACAACUUGGGUCGCUAGCCAGCGUUGGCAAUGGUGGUAGGAUAAGAGCCGGUCGCUCUCUUCUGAGCUUCUGGCUUAUGCUAGUGCCGUUGCCAGGGCCAAAAGGGUGCGCCGUUCUUCGGCGGGCCUUAGCGGGCACCUGCACCCUUUGGAUGCUGGCACUUGGGGCUUUCCAUCCGACCCGUCUUGAAACACGGACCAAGGAGUCUAACAUGUAUGCGAGUUGGUGGGUGAAAAACCCACGAGGCAAAAGGAAACUGAGUCGUGGGAUCCCUUCCACGGGUGCACCACGGACCGACCAUGAUCUUCUGUGAAAGGUUUGAGUGUUAGCAUAUCUGUUGGGACCCGAAAGAUGGUGAACUAUGCCUGAGCAGGGCGAAGCCAGAGGAAACUCUGGUGGAGGCUCGUAGCGAUACUGACGUGCAAAUCGUUCGUCAGACUUGGGUAUAGGGGCGAAAGACUAAUCGAACCAUCUAGUAGCUGGUUCCCUCCGAAGUUUCCCUCAGGAUAGCUGGAGCUCUCGUGAGUUUUAUCGGGUAAAGCGAAUGAUUAGAGGCAUCGGGGGUGAAACACCCUCGACCUAUUCUCAAACUUUAAAUAGGUAAGAAGCCAGGGUUGCUCCAUUGAACCCUGGCAACGAAUGCGAGCUCCAAGUGGGCCAUUUUUGGUAAGCAGAACUGGCGAUGCGGGAUGAACCGAA
rnacentral:rRNA from 1 species